UGACGCAGAUUGGCUCUGCUGUUGGUGGUACAACUAGUGCAUUUUAUGGAUUCAACCACAUUAUGCCAAUAGUCCGGAGAUGGGUAAAAGGCCCUAUGUGGUUGCAUUUUCUCAUUGGUGCACCACCUGUGAUACUAUUCUCUUCCGCUUGUGCAGGAUUUUCAG